UACGGAGGUCUCAAGCGUUGUUCGGAUUCAUUGGGCGUAAAGGGUGCGUAGGUGGCGUGGUAAGUCUGGUGUGAAAUCCCGGGGCUCAACCCCGGAACUGCACUGGAUACUGCCAUGCUUGAGUACUGGAGAGGAGAUUGGAAUUUACGGUGUAGCAGUGAAAUGCGUAGAUAUCGUAAGGAAGACCAGUGGCGAAGGCGAAUCUCUGGACAGUUACUGACACUGAGGCACGAAGGCCAGGGGAGCAAACGGG
rnacentral:rRNA from 1 species